UAGUUACCAUAGGGAUAACAGGCUUAUUUUUCCUAAGAGUCCAUAUUGAAGGAAAAGUUUGGCACCUCGAUGUUGGCUUAGAGUAUCCUUUAUAAGCAGAAAUAUAAAAAGGUAGGUUUGUUCAACCUAUAAUACUCUACAUGAGCUGAGUUCAGACCGGCGUAAGCCAGGUUAGAUUCUAUCCUUAUAUAAAUAAAAUAGAUCAUAGUACGA
rnacentral:rRNA from 1 species